rnacentral:rRNA from 1 species
UGCAUCGGGGGAUCCCGCAAGGGGGAACCGGCGUAAGGGGCAGUAAGGCAUGGGUACCUACCUUUGGGUUCGGGAUAGCCAUCAGAGAUGGUGGGUAAUACCGGAUGACGUCGUGAGACCAAAGAUUCAUCGCCCUUAGAGGGGCCCAUGUGAUAUUAGCUAGUUGGUGGGGUAACGGCCCACCAAGGCGAAGAUGUCUAGCGGGUGUGAGAGCACGACCCGCGCCACUCGCACUGAGACACUGGCGAGACACCUACGGGUGGCUGCAGUCGAGGAUCUUCGGCAAUGAGCGCAAGCUUGACCGAGCGAUGCCGCGUGAGCGAUGAAGGCCUUCGGGUUGUAAAGCUCUUUAGUGGGGGAGAAAAGCCGCAAGGUGUGAUCUAUCCCAAAAAUAAGCACGGGCUAAGUUCGUGCCAGCAGCCGCGGUAAGACGAACCGUGCAAACGUUAUUCGGAACCACUGGGCUUAAAGGGCGCGUAGGCGGGCUGUCAAGUCUGGGGUGAAAUCCCGCGGCUCAACCGUGGAACUGCCUCAGAUACUGACGGCCUCGAGGAAGGUAGGGGCAUGCGGAACUGUAGGUGGAGCGGUGAAAUGCGUUGAUAUCUACAGGAACUCCGGUGGCGAAAGCGGCGUGCUGGACCUUUUCUGACGCUGAGGCGCGAAAGCUAGGGGAGCAAACGGGAUUAGAUACCCCGGUAGUCCUAGCCCUAAACGAUGGGUACUAGAUAGUAGACUCGAUAUAGGUUUACUGUCGAAGCUAAAGUGCUAAGUACCCCGCCUGGGGAGUAUGGUCGCAAGGCUGAAACUCAAAGGAAUUGACGGGGGCUCACACAAGCGGUGGACAUGUGGCUUAUUCGAGGCUACGCGAAAACCUUAUCCU